AAGUCGUAACAAGGUUUCCGUAGGUGAACCUGCGGAAGGAUCAUUAAAAGUGAUUGGUUAUACAUUUCAUGUAUCAACUGCAUUAACCCAUUCCGAGUACCUUGCCUGUUGCUUCCAUGGGGCCUGACUUUGGUCACUCUUGUGAUGCGAAUCCCAAGAGAGUCCCCAUGGGGGGUAAUCAUUAAAUUCAUGAAUCCAAUGUCUUCUGUCUGAAAUGUUAAAAACAAAUGUUAAAA
rnacentral:misc_RNA from 1 species